GCCAGAGUGGUGUAGUGGUUUGAGUGUUGGACUGUGAUUCUACAGGCCAGGAUUUGAAUCCCUGCUUGGAUU